rnacentral:tRNA from 1 species
GGAUACUGAUCUACCAAGGUUUGGUAGCGCUGGUUGCUAACCAGUUGGAUCGUUAAUAGCGAUUUGGGUUCGAUACCUACUGUAUCCGCCA